UGCUUUCUGCUGCUGAGAUCUUGCUGAAAUAAAGACAGUCUUCUUCUUUUAUUAUAUCCUUGUGCUGGCAUAGUGUAAAUAGAGCAGAUGAUAGGAGAGCCUUAGUUUUUCUGUGGUGAUAUAUUACUUUUUACACAACUCAACAAAAGUUACCACACACAAGUGAUUGCACAUAACUGGGCACCAAAUGGAAUUUCAAGUCUCUAAGGAAGAAGAAAGUCUUGUCAAAUGCUGUCUCAGAGGCUUCAUGUCCCAGUCAAUGUGACCUGUGAGUUAAAACCCACUCAGGGAGAAAAUAAAGCUGAUUAUCUGAUGUUUCCUCAGCACAAUGGCUGUUUACUUGCUUCUCAUUAUGGCUUUCUGACACAGCACUGCAAAGCACCCAAUCCAUAGUUUGAUUACCAGUCUGGAGAGAGAGCUGCAAUUAACAGCAGAGCAGAAAUUAGAUCUGUUCCUGAAAAUCAGCUUGGCUAGAAACAAUUUAAAUUUAUAGCAUAAUAAAACAUAAAUGGUUGAAAACAUUUGGGACUUUUUUCCUCUGAUUUCCACAAUUAAUGUUUACGAUUCACAUGCAAUCAGGGUAAUACUGGUUAUAUACACAGGUGGUAUACGUACCAUUGCCACAGUGUCUCUCCAGAAAUGAGUCACUGAAUGUUCUGCCAGUCAUUCUUCAGGGGGUGUGCAAGACUGUGGAAGGCCCUGACUGCCUUUAAACCCAUUGAAGUUCACCCUAGGAGUGUGAUGAUUGCUGCCUGCCACCUCCUGCUGUCUUUCAGGGGACCUCAAGGAAUAAUUGUAACUUUGGACAAGGCAGGUUGGAUCCCAAUGCAUCUGCACAACUGCAGCUGUCAGUGACUGUGGGUAACAACAUGCGAGGAAGUUUGGUGUUUCCAUUCACUGAGAUUAUUGCUCAAAAUAGUCUGAAGCCCUGAAACAACUGUUCUAGAUAACCCAUUAAAAGUGAACCAUGCUUACAACCAGUGUGGUAUGAUUUCAAACAUGAACAUAUGCCACAUAGUGCUAGAUUGCAUUACAGAAAAAAGGUGGAUUUGGUUCACCACGGCCAUGCAACAGGGAAAAACAUCCAUCCAGAAAAAGAUGUAUCCAAGUGCUGCAACAGGAGCAGGGACAAAUAACUAUGACACAUACCAGUCAGGCUGCCAGAUUCAAAAAGCAUGCUUUAGAUUUCAGGAGGCAGAAGUGAACUAGCCUUUUGUGAAGUCUGGGAACUAAGGAUUUUUUCUGCUUAACUUUGAAUUUUUCUCUCAUGAUAAUGACAGUUCUGGAGACAUUUGUGUCCUUGUCAAAGUUGCAGAAUGGAAGAGGAUGAAGUCACAUUGCCAGUAUUUGGUUGAAAAUGUCUAGACUUCUGUGUCCUGGUCUCUGUAAUCAUGACAUUGACAUGAAUUGGGCUAUUGAAAAGAUAAAGUCUUCAGUGAGGAAUGAAAGGAAACAGCCCUGCAGCUAGUCCUUCCCCAGGAGAGCAUUUGGGCCCAAUUCCACCACUCACAUAGGACAAGGACUGUCUCCAGCAAGACAAUCGUUUUUGGUCGUAGGGGGUUAGCUGGCUGCAUGUGAAUUGACCCAUACCCCUUUGCCUCUGGGAUUGCAAAAUGAGGUCUGUCCAAUUUUAUUUACUGUUAUAAGCACUGAUUAUUUUCUCUUUUCCAGGAACUCAUAGACUUGAUUUACUUUGCUCUCAUUCCUGUAUCUGUUUUGAAACUCUCUAGCAUGCACCAGGGGCACACAACAUUCCAAAGGGUCAAUGUUCAGGGCCAGAAAAAUGUUCCUCUUUUGAAGUGUAAAUGAAACUUGGCAGUAGUGUUUCAAUCA